CAGCCGCCGCGGUAAUACGUAGGGUGCGAGCGUUAAUCGGAAUUACUGGGCGUAAAGCGUGCGCAGGCGGUUCGUUAAGACAGAUGUGAAAUCCCCGGGCUUAACCUGGGAACUGCAUUUGAGACUGGCGAGCUAGAGUAUGGCAGAGGGGGGUAGAAUUCCACGUGUAGCAGUGAAAUGCGUAGAGAUGUGGAGGAAUACCGAUGGCGAAGGCAGCCCCCUGGGCCAAUACUGACGCUCAUGCACGAAAGCGUGGGGAGCAAACAGGAUUAGAUACCCCAGUAGUCCCUGUCUCUUAUAA
rnacentral:rRNA from 1 species